GUUCAGAGAGGUCUGAAUUAUGUUGGUUCAUUUAUUAUGCUUGAAGUAUGUUCCAAUGUAUAUUAUUACUAUAGCAUUUUGUUUAUGGUUUGUUUUUAAACUCUUUGAACUCAGUGUCAGUCAGCUUGAUCAGUUUGUAGAGAUAGGUUUGAGAUCAAAUAAACUUGAUGAUAAAACUACAUGUGUGUUCAAGUCAUGAAUUCUUAAUUUAAUGAUAUGGAUUUAUACAUAGCCUGAUGUUGUCCAUAAUAAAAAUGGGAAGGACUGCUCAAUAAACCUAUAAUGAACAUUUAUUUAAUACAUCAAUGGGGCAUUAAAUUCAUGACUUGGUGUCAAAAUUCUAACACACAUUGAGAGUGAGUGGCCUGAACAGUAUUGCAAUGAAAAACCCAAGAAAGUCUAUUGUAAUUUAUUGUUGAAAUUUUACAUGGUUUUAUGAGCCUAUUAUAAGCACAGUUAAUAAAUCAGACUUUGUCACAUCUCUACUAAAGCUACACUAUUCAUGUCAACAUUUUGGUAAAAAGAAAUUGUCAGGCUUGUAAGAUGAACAUGUCCUCUCCCCCAUAUCACCUGAUGAGCUCCUUCAUGAAGGAACAUUUUUUGCUCAUUUAGAUCUUAAUGAGACAAACACACACAAAAUGUACAAUUUUGACUUGAAAUGUUAUUUUA